AUGGCAAUGCAGUUUCCCCCCUCCGGGGACGACGCGCGCGAGGCGGACGCGCUCCUCCCGCGGAGCGACUCCGCCGGCCGCCGCCGCUCGUCGCCCGUGCAGUCCGCGUCCCCGAGGCCCCAGGGCUCGGCCGGCCCCAGGAGGCAGUCGUCCUUCCGCCACGACGUCGGCCAUGCCGCCUCCGAGACCUACCUCGUCACGCGCCUCACCUUCACCCUGCUCCAGUACCUCGGGUUAGGUUACCGCUGGAUGAGGCAGCUUCUUGCCCUUGCAGUCUAUGCCAUUCUACUUAUGCCAGGUUUUUUGCAAGUUGGAUAUUACUAUUUCUUUUCAAGUCAGGUUCGUAGAAGUAUAGUUUAUGGAGAACAACCGAGAAACAGGUUAGAUUUGUAUAUACCCAAAGAUAAUAGAAGACCCUGUCCCGUGGUGGCCUUUGUAACUGGUGGGGCCUGGAUUAUUGGAAAUUUUCCUCAAGGAACAAUAAGUGACAUGGUUAGCGAUGCUUCUCAGGGGAUCUCAUUCGUGUGUAACAACAUUGCUAGUUAUGGAGGUGAUCCUAAUCAGAUCUACUUGAUGGGUCAGUCAGCAGGAGCACAUAUUUCAGCAUGUGCCCUAAUGGAACAGGCAGUAAAAGAGUCUAGCGGACAGCCCAUUUCUUGGAGUGUUACACAAAUCAAGGCAUACUUUGGUUUAUCUGGAGGAUACAACAUCCAUAAUUUGGUCGACCAUUUCCAUCAGCGUGGUCUGAACCGUUCAAUAUUUCUCAGUAUAAUGGAGGGAGAAGAAGCAUUGUCACGUUAUUCUCCUGAAAUUGUUGUCAAGGAGUCGAGUACCCGGACCAUAGCUCUACUUCCUCGUAUCUUUCUUAUGCAUGGAACAGAUGAUUAUUCAAUACCAUCGUCUGCCAGUCGAACUUUUGUAGACGUCCUUCAACAAGUUGGUGCCCAGGCCACAUUAUUAUUGUACGAAGGGAAAACACAUACAGAUAUAUUUAUACAGGAUCCUCUUAGGGGUGGAAGGGAUCCUUUGGUUGAAGAUGUCUUUUCUGUUAUUUAUGCCGAUGAUGCAACUCGCCAAAAUGCAGCUUCUGCGCCAACUCCAAGGCGCCUGGUUUUUGAGUGGCAAUUGCAGUUGGCCCGUUGGAUUAGUCCCUUCUAG
rnacentral:rRNA from 1 species